rnacentral:rRNA from 1 species
CAGCGCCACGAGUGGGGACCACGUUUAUUGGGCCUAAAGCGUCCGUAGCUGGUUUGUUAAAUCUUUUGUGAAAUCGUAGGGCUUAACCUUACGGCUUGCAAGAGACACUGACAAACUUGGAACCGGGAUGGGCAUGAGGUAUUCCUAGGGUAGCGGUAAAAUGUUAUAAUCCUAGGAGGACCACCUGUGGCGAAGGCGUCAUGCUAGAACGGAUUCGACAGUGAGGGACGAAAGCCAGGGGAGCGAUCCGGAUUAGAUACCCGAGUAGUCC